AAAUUGAAGAGUUUGAUCAUGGCUCAGAUUGAACGCUGGCGGCAGGCCUAACACAUGCAAGUCGAACGGUAACAGGAAGCAGCUUGCUGCUUUGCUGACGAGUGGCGGACGGGUGAGUAAUGUCUGGGAAGCUGCCUGAUGGAGGGGGAUAACUACUGGAAACGGUGGCUAAUACCGCAUAACGUCGCAAGACCAAAGAGGGGGACCUUCGGGCCUCUUGCCAUCAGAUGUGCCCAGAUGGGAUUAGCUUGUUGGUGAGGUAACGGCUCACCAAGGCGACGAUCCCUAGCUGGUCUGAGAGGAUGACCAGCCACACUGGAACUGAGACACGGUCCAGACUCCUACGGGAGGCAGCAGUGGGGAAUAUUGCACAAUGGGCGCAAGCCUGAUGCAGCCAUGCCGCGUGUAUGAAGAAGGCCUUCGGGUUGUAAAGUACUUUCAGCGGGGAGG
rnacentral:rRNA from 1 species